CUGGUUUCAUUCCUGUUUCUCCAGUUCUCCAACCCUGUGUUGGUGUAAUUCUCCAGUCUACCUGCUGAUGAGCUAACCGUGAUGAUAGAUCGAUCUCAAAAGAGGACGUCUCUGUUGACUUGAGGGUUGUAUACAAAUGGCAUGGCACUAAUAAUGGUGUGUCUCUUUGGAUAAAGGAUCUGCUAAAUGAAGAAAUGUAAAUGUAUGGGUUGGUUUUUUGAUGGACAUAAGUCCAGUGAGGAACCUGACAAGUGCCUCUUUCAGGAUUAGGAGCAAAUUGUUGUUCCUCUGCAGUCAUACUCAAGGCCUUAUUGUGUUGCUGUGUGUGUGAUGAGGAGUAAUUCAUCUGUAAUUGGUGUGAGUGUCGCUGCAAUUAGCCAUGUAAUAAAUCUAUAGCUGCUUUUUUCUUCUCCCAAUAAAU